GAGAGAGAGUGAGAGAGAAAAGAGAGAGAGAGAGAUCUGAAUGUGGGAGGGAUAGAGGUGGAGAAACAACUCUCCAACAGCGCGCAGGCGCAGUAGCUCCCGCUCCCACUGGGCUCCUCCAUACAGUACCUCCGCCUUACUGUACAUCAACUAGUGAAGGGGGAAAAAAAGAAAAGGAAAAAGCAAGGAACAUAAAUAAAAGGAGGGGAAGAGAAAAAAAGACACACAGCUGAAAGGAAAUCUGUGAAAUAUGCAACGUUUCUUCUGAGAGCUCGUUAAAUUAUUAACUUGCUGUUUCGCUACGGUGCAGUUCAUGUCGCUUAAAAAAAGAAAACCCACACACACGCGCGCACACACUCCGAUGGGAGGGCCUCGCUCGUACUUUUCCUGGCAGGAAAAACAAACACGUGAAGCAGACCGAGCGGGCGAACGGACGGAUUCACGGGAUGGAGGACAAAAAGAAAAAGAGAGAAAAAAUAACAGAAGAGCAAGCAUGGAGAGUGUUAAUUUCAGUAACGUGGCCGGGAGCCUCCUCCUUUUCAUAAACACCCCCCCCCCACACACACACACACACCCUCUGUCGUAAAGCUUGAACCCUUGAAACCUGUUCUGGCACAAACCAUUAAUAGUUUUGAUUGAUUUUUCCGUUAUUUCGCGCAGAGACUUUUUUUCCCCAGCUGCCCUGUCGCCUACCAAAGCUUAAAAAGUUUAUAGAAAAUUAACCGAAUUGUGUUUCUCUCUCGCUCUCUCUUCAGAGAAAGAGAUGCUGGUCUGCCCCUUCUGAAACAGAAGACCAGGUUUGCUUAAAUGGAUUUCAUGUUCUGAUUUACAUGAAGAGUAGGUGAGGCGCAGGAAGGAGCAGAAAAAGGGGGGGAGCGCUCGGGCUGCUUCCACCAUCUUAGAUUGUAUUGAUUAUUCUUUGCUCUCAUGCUAGCCCUCCCUCCUCUCUUCUUCUUCUGCUUCUUUUUCCUGCCACCUUCUCUCCGCGAUCAGCUUUUUCUCCCCGUUUUGUGGCAGAUUACUGUAACGCUAUUGUACAACAACUUCCUGCCUCUUUUGGCUCCGCUUCUAAAAAACACUGAGAAAAGGGCAGAGCUCGUGGGCUCAAACUUUUUUCUUCUCCUUCUUCUUCCCCCCCUCUCCUUUCCCUUCGGCCUCAAACCAGAGCAGCUUCUAUACGGAGAGGAAAAAGGACAUGUUAACCCCCCCCCCAAAAAAAACAGAGAGAGUCUGUUACAGAGGAACUAUUCUGAUUUCAUUUCUGCUUUCUAAACUGCUGGCUCGGGGAGUUGAGGAGGGCGAGCGGGGACUAGCAGAGACAAUGGGAGGAAAAAAAAAAGAAAAGGAUUUCAAAAGAACCCGAGGAGGAAGAGGAGCAGAGGAGAGGCUGGAGACGGAGGACCUGCUCGACAGCAGAGCUCAGAGUGGACAACCCUGCCUGGGAGGGACGCGCCCUCACUGAAGCCACCGACUACUUUUGGCAGCCCCCCCUCAGGAGCCGGCCACAUUGUGCCGGACCGGCACCGCGUUCAAGCGUCAGGCUCAACGUGACGCAGUUCAGGCAGCAGAUCCACACGAGUGUCGCCAAUGUCUCAUUUAGAAGCGUUAAUAAAGACAAUUUAAACACGAAUUAACGCGUUCCUCCGACGCAGAGGAGAUCGAAAUUGUUUUUACAAUCAAGCACAAAGUUUUGUGAAUUUUUUAUUUAUUUACUGUGACUCAGCAAGGGGAUGGCGCAAUUUAAACACAUUACUACAAAGAUUUGAAACAAAAAUGUAAGACAUAAUCUGCAGUUUUAAUUUAAAACAGGAAAGCAAUAACAUUCCUACUGCUGGUAAAAUAAAACAAGGAGGAUUAUAGCUAAAAGGAUUACAUUCCUUUCAUCUUUUGUAUGUUGACACUUGGUAACUUAAAUAAAUGCUUGCUAUGUAGAAAAUC